ACGAACGCUGGCGGCGUGCUUAACACAUGCCGGUCGAACGGAAAGGCCCUGCUUUUGUGGGGUGCUCGAGUGGCGAACGGGUGAGUAGCACGUGAGUAACCUGCCCUUGACUUUGGGAUAACUUCAGGAAACUGGGGCUAAUACCGGAUAGGAGCUCCUGCUGCAUGGUGGGGGUUGGAAAGUUUCGGCGGUUGGGGAUGGACUCGCGGCUUAUCAGCUUGUUGGUGGGGUAGUGGCUUACCAAGGCUUUGACGGGUAGCCGGCCUGAGAGGGUGACCGGCCACAUUGGGACUGAGAUACGGCCCAGACUCCUACGGGAGGCAGCAGUGGGGAAUAUUGCACAAUGGGCGGAAGCCUGAUGCAGCAACGCCGCGUGCGGGAUGACGGCCUUCGGGUUGUAAACCGCUUUCGCCUGUGACGAAGCGUGAGUGACGGUAAUGGGUAAAGAAGCACCGGCUAACUACGUG
rnacentral:rRNA from 1 species